rnacentral:rRNA from 1 species
UACGUAGGGGGCAAGCGUUUGUCCGGAUUUAUUGGGCGUAAAGCGCGUGUAGGCGGCCAGGUAGGUCUGCUGUGAAAACUCGAGGCUCAACCUCGAGAUGUCGGCGGAAACCAUCUGGCUAGAGUCCGGAAGAGGAGAGUGGAAUUCCCCGGUGUAGCGGUGAAAUGCGCAGAUAUCGGGAAGAACACCCGUGGCGAAGGCGGCUCUCUGGAGCGGUACUGACGCUGAGACGCGAAAGCGUGGGGAGCAAACAGG